ACUCCUACGGGAGGCAGCAGUGGGGAAUAUUGCACAAUGGGGGAAACCCUGAUGCAGCCAUGCCGCGUGUGUGAAGAAGGCCUUCGGUUGUAAAGCACUUUCAGUAGGGAGGAAGGUAGUGUAGUUAACACCUGCAUUAUUUGACGUUACCUACAGAAGAAGCACCGGCUAACUCCGUGCCAGCAGCCGCGGUAAUACGGAGGGUGCGAGCGUUAAUCGGAAUUACUGGGCGUAAAGCGCAUGCAGGCGGCCUGUUAAGUCAGAUGUGAAAGCCCGGGGCUUAACCUCGGAAUUGCAUUUGAAACUGGCAGGCUAGAGUCUUGUAGAGGGGGGUAGAAUUUCAGGUGUAGCGGUGAAAUGCGUAGAGAUCUGAAGGAAUACCAGUGGCGAAGGCGGCCCCUGGACAAAGACUGACGCUCAGAUGCGAAAGCGU
rnacentral:rRNA from 1 species